UACAGAGGUCUCAAGCGUUGUUCGGAUUCAUUGGGCGUAAAGCGUGCGCAGGCGGUUGUGCAAGACAGGUGUGAAAUCCCCGGGCUUAACCUGGGAACUGCACUUGUGACUGCACAGCUGGAGUACGGCAGAGGGGGAUGGAAUUCCGCGUGUAGCAGUGAAAUGCGUAGAUAUGCGGAGGAACACCGAUGGCGAAGGCAGUCCCCUGGGCCUGUACUGACGCUCAUGCACGAAAGCGUGGGGAGCAAACAGG
rnacentral:rRNA from 1 species